CUCCAACCUGAGAAAGCUGAUUGGUCUCUUAGGCAGGAUGCUACAGCUUAGCAAAAUGACAAAAAUCAAAGGAUCAUGCUCAGAGGUGAACAACAAAAAUGAACGUGAACCAACUCAGGGAAAAUAUGUCUAAGGAGAAAAAGAUAAUUUCGUCAAGAAGUUAGAGCGAACACCAAAGAAAAGAUGGCACCCAAACUGGCAUCCAGAUUGGGAAACUGCAUGAAUAAUGCCAAAUUAGCCUUUAGUGUCAGCUAUAAAUAAAGGAGUUCACUAUUCCACGG
rnacentral:lncRNA from 1 species